UACGGAGGGGAAUAGCGUUGUUCGGAAUUACUGGGCGUAAAGCGCACGUAGGCGGAUUUGUAAGUCAGGGGUGAAAUCCCGGGGCUCAACCUCGGAACUGCCUUUGAUACUGCAAAUCUCGAGUCCGGAAGAGGUGAGUGGAAUUCCUAGUGUAGAGGUGAAAUUCGUAGAUAUCUGGAGGAACACCGGUGGCGAAGGCGGCAUCCUGGACCGACACUGACGCUGAUGAGCGAAAGCCAGGGGAGCAAACGGG
rnacentral:rRNA from 1 species